rnacentral:rRNA from 1 species
CCUACGGGUGGCAGCAGUGAGGAAUAUUGGUCAAUGGCCGGAAGGCUGAACCAGCCAUGCCGCGUGCAGGUCAGUGCCCUAUGGGCGUUAAACUUCUUUUGUGCGGGAGCAAUAUUGGUCACGUGUGGCCAGACGAGAGUACCGUACGAUUAAGCAUCGGCUAACUCCGUGCCAGCAGCCGCGGUAAUACGGGGGGUGCAAGCGUUAUCCGGGUUUAUUGGUUUUAAAGGUUGCGUAGGCGGUGAGUUAAGUCAGCGGUGAAAUGCCCCCGCGCAAAGGGGUGAAGUGCCCUUGAUACUGGCAUGCUGGAAUGAGAAUGAGGUGGGAGGAAUGUGAGGUGUAGCGGUGAAAUGCAUAGAUAU